GGUAGAAUUCCAGGUGUAGCGGUGAAAUGCGUAGAGAUCUGGAGGAAUACCGGUGGCGAAGGCGGCCCCCUGGACAAAGACUGACGCUCAGGUGCGAAAGCGUGGGGAGCAAACAGGAUUAGAUACCCUGGUAGUCCACGCCGUAAACGAUGUCGACUUGGAGGUUGUGCCCUUGAGGCGUGGCUUCCGGAGCUAACGCGUUAAGUCGACCGCCUGGGGAGUACGGCCGCAAGGUUAAAACUCAAAUGAAUUGACGGGGGCCCGCACAAGCGGUGGAGCAUGUGGUUUAAUUCGAUGCAACGCGAAGAACCUUACCUACUCUUGACAUCCAGAGAACUUAGCAGAGAUGCUUUGGUGCCUUCGGGAACUCUGAGACAGGUGCUGCAUGGCUGUCGUCAGCUCGUGUUGUGAAAUGUUGGGUUAAGUCCCGCAACGAGCGCAAC
rnacentral:rRNA from 1 species